UAGAAAACAAUUUAGUCUCCAAAAAAGACCUCUGGAAGUUCAGGCAAGAGGUCAGAAAAUCAGUAAGUAUAUUUCCAUUAAUAAUUUUAAUAAUUGUUGUAAUAAGACUGUAGGGGUCAUGGUUUAAUUUUUUUUUUUAAUUAUUUAUUUUUUUGCUUCUCACAACAAACUUGGAGGAGGAGCCAAGGUGGUCUACCCUGGAGCAGGUCUUUGGCCUGCUUGCAGGCUAUUUCAUCUUUUUUUGGGGGGCACCAGAGAGGAGUCCUUCAAAAUAUGCUGGUGACGGAGGUCCAGGAGGCAGAAUUCAAGGUUACCGAGGAUAUCAUAGAGGUAAGUGUUCAUGAUCACAGGAAAACAAGGUUGUUGAUUGGUUAAGAAAUGGUGCAUGUUUUUUAUUUGUUUUCUUAAUUUGCUGGUGCAGCAAGGACCCAAUGAGCAGCCCACAAACAGCUCCAGCUCCCCGAACCCAAAGUCCAGAAGGCGGCUUUUCAUCUUGGAUUCUUCCUCCUCCUCGUCUGGCUCGGACGUGGAGUUUGUUGAAGAGGGGCACCAUUCAGAUGCUUCAGGGGCUUCAUCUGAGUCCAUACUGCUUCAGUCCACGAGGUGGUAUGCAGCCUCAGGUGAGGGCCCCACCAUUGAACCAUUUGUGCUUGAGAGCCCCGCCAAGUCGCUAAGGUCUACUUCUGAGUACCACGUCAUUGGCCAGGACCCCUCACCUGGCCAUUCCUAUCUGGGCUGUCCGGUGAGGGUUAGGUCUGAGGAUAUGCCACUUCUUUGAAAUCACUCCUCACCCAGAGUCAAGGUCUGUCAUUUGGACGAGCUCCACCAGCGUCAGCAGUAACCGGUAGAUGCUUGGGCGAUUUCAGAAGACAGCGGUUAUGAGGACGAAGCCCUCUC
rnacentral:lncRNA from 1 species